AGUCAUAAACUGAUCGUCGUGUUUCGUCGUUGUGAAAUAAAAAAACGGAUGAGGUGGCAAAAAAAUGUAUUACGGACGAAGAGUAUUAUCGAGCGUGUUAGGAACGGAGAGUUUUAUCGAAUUUGAUAUCGCGAAAGGGACAGGUAAUUUUCUUUUUUAUGAGUCUUCCAUACAAAAACAAAUUAGGCAAAUUGAAAAAGAAACUCAACGAAUAUCGUAAAAUUUUUAAGUUUUACAAACUCAUAUAAUCCCAACCAUAAAUAUUUCUCACAUAAAUGUCCAUUUCUGGCCUACCGUUAAGUAAUAGGACAAAUUGACAACGAUACUUCAAACUGCUGAAAGGACUGACACUCUAUGUAUCAUCACGGUUGAAAGUUCGACAGGCUGACAGGUAAAUAAAAUAGACGAUGAACAACACGAUGAUAAAUAACGUAAUGAAUACAAUAGGAAGAACUAGUCAUGGGCUAUGUAUAAAAGGUGAGUGAUUCAAGGGGGCCAAAGGUUUUAACCAAUUGUGUAACCCGUUAAAAAUAACAAACUCGAUGACCAAAUAACAAAUACGGCGUAAAAUCCUAGUUUUCUUCAUAAACAAUGUUAUCUUAUUCAACGUCAAAUUUCCACGGGAGACAUUAGUCACAUAGUAAACACUUUUGUUUAUAAUUUUCUCUCUAUUUUGUUAUCGAUUUUCUGGAAACGAGGACAAAUUCGGUUACUGGGUACACAUACACUUUGUACUCUUCGGUCUUUCGAAUUUGUUAUUCAUUGAGUCGAAUUGUUCAUCGUUGGCUGACUAUCGAUGGACGAGCAUCGAAGCUGACCAUGACAAAGAAGUUUUUAAUCUGAGAAUAAUGUGUUACAUCGUGUAGCAAAUGUAGAAUAUUUUGUUCUUUUUCUUUCUACGAUAAGAUAGCGAUAAUAAUUUUUGGCUACGAAUUAGAGAUAAUACAGCAAGUCGUUUCUUAAUAUUUUGCAUGGGAAAGGCGAUUAGCGUAGCGGCACAUAAGUCAGAGGACAAUUCAAAUCAUGUUGUUGUCUUGCCUCGGAGUAUCAAGACCGUUAGAUUAUAAGUAACGUAAGAACAAAUAGAAUCCGGACGAAACAAUGUCACCGCUAUAAGCAACCGUCGAAUAAAGACGAAUUCGAAUGUCCUGACCUGUAUAAAACCUGGACGCGAUCGCGAGCGACAGUACAUAUCGAGUAUCUAACGAGCGUCUAUCGAGUUACGCGACGAGCAUUUACGAGUAUAUAUUCCGCGAUUUUAUUUUGCGAUUUAUACUUCGUACUAACGGCUCGCGUUUACGGCUGUGUAUUAAUUUAUCGCUUUAAAUAUGUUCGACGGUUACAACAACAAGUAAUCUCGUCAUCAGUCCUCGCGUACCUACGUCCCCUUUACAUAAACAUCUACAGCAGUAUUAGUUUGUGCGAAAAGUUUCUAACGUUUUAAGAGGAAAUAAUAGACGCAAGGUUUAUUGUUUUAUAUUAUUUCGUCGAAUUACGUACGAUCAAUUUUGUUCUGUUUCGCAGAUUUACUUUCACGUUUGUACGAAGCUGCACUGUUGUAAAAGCACGUUUGCGAAAGAAAGACAGAAGAAGGACGACUUAAUACGUUUAGACGAUCGAUAACGGAAAAUCGUCUAGCAUUCAAGAUUAUUUUAUAAUAUUAGCUAUUUUUAUACAAUCCGUAGUCGUAAUUCGUACGUAAAGUUUACGUAAUUUCGUAAUUUUCUACGAUGGAAAUAUAAUUUUCUGUAAUUAAUUGAUUAAUAUUUGUCAGCGGUAUCGGUUAUCAGCACGUGUGAUUAGUGGAAAUAUCGAGUUAAGAACUAAUUAAAACAAAUCGUACAGGUAUUAGCAGGGAAAAUAUAUAAAACAAGUAAGUACGAACACUGCGACGAUAUUUCCUAACACGUUGAGAAAACAGGUCUACACUAACGCAAACAUCGAUUCAGAGAAUCUGUACAUACGUUCCAGUAAACAUUUCUUUAUAAAUAUUUGAUCGCUAAUAUUGAACAUGUUUAAUGUUCCAUCUUCAUUAGUUGUGCGCUUUUAUUUCCACGAGUCUUGCAAGCACCUUUAAUCGACCAACCUACAAGAUUCAUCUAAUAUUUGCACCACUGGUAUUAUUUACAAUUUUCAACGAGUAAUUUAUCAUCUGCUUACGAACCACAAAAAUAUUAUCACAAAUACAAAAAUAUUUAUAGAAGUUUUACUUCUUUUACGAUCCUGUCCCUCGCUACCUUUUCACUAUUUUGCCAUUUCCUUUUCUUUCUCCUCCAUGUAAUUACUCGAUUCACCGAACUAUCUUUUCAUUGUUCUUUGAAACGCUGAAAACCAGGAUAUAUACGUAGCUAGGGAUACAAAGAAAGAUUUAUUAAACGACAUUCCCAUAUUAUCCUACGAUAUCCCAUUUGUAUUUCUUCAACGACAACAAAAAUCUUAAUCUCCGGUAGAAACUUUGCGAACCCACAUUUCCAAGAACCAAGUAAUUUACCAACAGGAAUUUUCCGUCUAUUAACCCUUUUCCGUCUAUUAAUCCUUUUCCGUCUAUUAACCCUUUUCCGUCUAUUAAACCUACCGUCAAUAAAAGUACCGUCUAUUAAAUAACCAAAACAUCGUAAAACACCGUAAACCGUUAUCGUUUUUAAAUUGCAAGUAAUUUGGAUAAAAAUUAUGGCUAGCUAUCCUCGCGGCUAUCACCCCGUCCAUUAGUUCAAACAACGGAGAAAAGCAAAUGAGAUAACUACCGGCGAUAAGACUAAUUAAAUUCGUGGUACAACAAAGUUUUUGUUCGAGGAAACGAACGGCCGAAGAUUUUUCGAUAUUUUCCAACGAGAAAGGGCGAUCCUGUGUCGCGGGGCGCGUGUAUAAAAGCAGCACGCUUCGGAAUCGAUUGUACAAACAAGAACGUCGCUAGUAUGUGUGUGUGUGUGUGUGUGUGUGUGUGUAUGUAUGCGCGCACCCUCAGCCCCUGGGUGCCGAUCUUUCGUUAAAUUUCCGUUUCAUCGUUUCCGUGCAAACGUACCGCGAAAGGUAAAAGUUUUAAGCAGGCCAUCAGGCCAAACCUGAAAAACGUUUGAUUUUCGUCGUUCCUCUGCCUCGUUACUCAUUCCCAUGCCCCUCUUCUCGAACACACCGAUACUUCCUACGAACGACCGGUGGAAAACACAUUUCUAUUUAAUUGACGAGGAAUCGGUGGAAACGAAACGCGAAAGCUUCCUUCCUCUCGUUUAUUUUCCACCUUUUUAUCUUUCUUCUUCCUUCGAAGUUUCACUCGUUACAGCUAUCCUAUGUCCCGUGAUAUCGCUGUUGUCAUCGAAUAUAGUCAAAGUGUUAGGUUGUCCGAAAAGUGUCUUCCUUUCGCAGACGUGUUUUUUACAACAGUGCGUUUUUAUACAAACGUGAAAGCAACUCUGUGAAAUGUCGCGGUGUCUAUCUCGACAGAACAAAACGGAUCGUACGUAAUUCGAGAGAAUAAUAUAAAAGAAAAAACGUCGCGCGUUUAUUAUUUCCUCAUAGAACGAAAGAAACUUUUCGGACAACCUAAUAGAAAAUUCCAUCUAUUUGCUCCUUUCGUUCGAACUUUUCUUAUCGGAUAAUAAACAGAUUAUCGUCGUUGGAUCGACGGCAUUUCUGCUUCUUCCGAUUGAGUUUCACUGCGAAUACCAUCUCGUCCUUAAGAGAUAUUUCAUUGUGUAACUUUUGAGAAUAUUUUCUUACACGCAAUAAGAUUAGACGGGACGAGGUUUAUCUUUAUUUGUCAGAUUUUCUUCAACUUUGCAAGAUGUUUUAAGAUUAGGACAGUUAGAGAGAAACAUUUUUAAUCAAAACGGAAAGCGUAGAUAAAAAUUUUCAUCGACGUCAUUUUUAAGAAUAUCCAUUAAUCCCUGCAUUUACGUGUUUUUGCCAAACGAGAGACGUUCCGUGACAUUCUUUGGCGACUGAAAUCGGUCGUUUGCGCCAUCCCAAUAAAAUUUUUCAUGACGAUGAUAAUGUAAACUCACAUUUAAUUCAGUUUCUUGCUGGCAAAAAUCAAGUUUUAUGAACAUGGAAUUAUGACACUGCCCGAAAGAUGGCAAAAGGGCAUCGACGAAAACGAACAAUACCUAAUCGAAUGGAGCUAUGUUUUUAAGCAAAAAUUUGGAAUUUUCCUUAUUUAAAAUACGCAAUCGCUUAGUUGCCAACCCUCGACGUCGCGUCAAUCGGUAGCCGCAAUUUAAUUAACGUUACCGAUCAUCGUAACGAUCAUUUACCAUCGAUAAAAGAUCGAAUUUCUAUCUUUUACCAUCUUAAAGAGUAACCCUGUUUCUCUAACCAGCUAUUUUUCUACCGAGAUCUGGCGAAAAAUCUCGAUACCUGAACGUGUCUCUUGAAAAACCAGACGAAUCAGACUCUCGUUACGUGACGUAAAAAUUGUUAAGGGUGUAACACGAAGUAAAGAACGAUCGAUGAGCACGUGGAAAGAGACAGCAGUCAAUUUUAAUAAUAUCAGCCCGUUCUGUACGCCUUCGUGCACGAUGACUCGCACGAUUUUACGACGGCUUUCAAUUAUCCGGGGAACCAUACUCCCACGGGCCGCUGCCCUCGCGAAAUAUCGAUCCUCGUGCUCUCGACUGCGUGGCUGCCGGAAGUGGGUGGAACGAGGAAUUACGUUACGGAGGCGAGACUCGACGAUAAUCGUCGCUGCACUUUUCCAGAUCGUACUUGCGCGUCAUACAGGCAGGAAAAAUGUAUUUAGAACAACGUGGAACAAGUUUAUCGGGAUGAAUAAACAGCGAAUUCUUAUUUUUACAGACUCAAUCGGACACACGGAAUUGAAAUAAAAAUUUAUUUCGUCCAAUGUGAAUCACAAUAAACGCUAUGCUUUCGAUGUUUCCUACGUUUCUGUAUGUUACGUUCGUUUGCCUUUCGAAAUCGGCUACGAAUUCAUAAAUGUCCGCAGUCGUCCAACAUCUUUCGGACGAAGGAAGAACAUCUGCGAUAGAUUUACGAACGCAACCGUUUUAAAGGAAAAUUAAAAAGGCCGGGGAAAUAUAUUCGUUGUAAUCGUCGUUGUCCAACCGAGUGCGUAGUUAAACCGCGUGCACGUGAAAAAGUGAUUAGCGAUCAACAACAAAGUGCAGGAUUAUUUGCCGGGAAGAAGAACUCUCCGAAGGGAGAAGUAUCGUAAAUGAAAUGCGUAGAAGGAAAAAUAAUACAGAUCGACCCUGACCACGCGUAUUCGGUCGGGGUUACCAUGUUGGUUGGUUCGCAGGUAAUCGCCACGAGAACUUACGCGGAAGAUAAGCUUCACUGAAUUCCGUCGUCGUAUAAUAAAACGUUGGAAAAACCCGCGUGUCAGGUAGGAAGAAGAAACAGUUUCUUUUAGAGGGAAACGUGCGAGAGGAAACCUAAAAUCCUACCAUAAAACGAUAAUCGACUUACAACAGCGGUACUUUGGCUCAAACGUGUUCCGAAGAGGCGGUAGAAAAAGCGAGGAAAAAGGGACGAUAGUCCCAGAUGUAGAUUUUUUUUCCUCUCUUUUGUCUUUCCUUUUCGUUUUUUUCUUACUUUUGGAAAGACAGUAAACCGAACCAACCAUCGAACGACUGCCAUACAAAGAGCUUAGUAGCAAUUUUUAUAGUCGCAUGGACGAGGAUUGGAAUUGUUACAAUUAACAGGCAAUUUCCUUGAUAAAUUUUUCGAUGGGACGUAGAUAAUACGAAGAAACCAUUGAUAUAGAAUUUAUAGUAAAUCGUUGAAAAUAUCAGCGUGGUUAAAAUCUCUGAUUCGUAAAUUUGUUGAGAAAUUUUCCAAAUUUACAAUGCAGCGAUUUGUGCAGAAUAUUUUUGUCAUAUACCUUUUUAAUUCUUUCGUGCGAAUUCCAUGAAUCGCUUUCCUAAACGCACCACGCAAAGGGAGAAGCAUCGAGACUAAAGCGAGAAAAGAUUCGAUUCGUAGCAACGGAUCGCUUUAUCGUAACACAUUUCUCGGUUUUUACCUAAGCUUCGAUCGAAACAAUGUUUUGCUAUCAUCACCUACACUAUGGUAUACAUAUAUCGAGCCUUUUACUGUUUCAGACGAUCUUCGUGGGAGGCUGUGCACCGAAGACAAACAGCCAUACACAAGAAUAACAUCUUUCGCGUUCCGCUAAUCACAACACUCGGUGCUGCCUGUACACAGACGUAGAGACGACGAUGGAAAAACAUAGCGCGGUCGUCGUUCGAGCCGAUGGAAAAAGUACCGUUUCUAUCGGCGGGUUAAUGAAGUGGCCUGCGCGCAAGAACUGUUUUUGUUCAAAACAUACGAACGUAAUUACAGAUAAAAAUCCAUACUAUUUUAAUCCUCAUCUAUUCUUCCUUUUUUUUUUUUUUUUUUUUUUUUUUUUUUUUUUUUUUUUUGGUAAUUGGUAAUUUGGCAAGACUAUUGCUAUUUUAAUACAGCGAUUUGCAAAAUGAAAGGACGAUACGAAUAAUAAAUUUACCAAACACGCGUAUCACGAUCCUACAGGGAUUUUGUAAUAUCUUAACAAAUAGACAGACAAAUCAUCGAUCCGACAGUUUUCUUCGUGUACAUUUUCUUUUAUUAAAGUCUCAAGAAUAUACGUGUACAUAUGAUUAUGUAUUAAAACAAUCCAUCCGAAAAUGUGUGACACUGAACUAUCUGAUAAUCAUCCUCUUUGUGUAUGUAUAACGCUUUGUGUAUUUUCUAACUCGACGUAUAAAACCGUGACAACACAUUUUAGCCACAAGUGAAGUAUAAUACGUAUAGAGGUGAAAAGAUCGUGAGGGUUCUAUUUAGUACCUUUAAUGGAAAAUUUGACGCGCUAUAAUUAUCAGGCUACGGUUAUGCUUAACGAUUAUGGACACCGGUUAUUCUUAACUUAAGUGUUAGGAGCAUCCAGUAGAAAGGUCACUUUUAAUGCGAAAUUACCCUCCGAUCGGUUGUCCGAUUAAAAAAUACAAUGGAAACCUGAGCGUUCGGCACGAUCUUAAUGGCACUUCGAGAAUUAUUUGAUCGAGUAAUUACGGAUGCGCAGUGCGUUUCGAUCAUGCACACGGUGUAUAAUACAGGCCACGAUAUAGCCAGGCUGUAAAUUAAUCUUUCGUCCACAGUAUCCUUGAAACUGAAAGCGUUUUUUAUGCAGAGAAAUUAGGGGUGAAAAAACGGGUGAAAAUUCCGUUUUCGACGAUUAACAUCGCGUCUAAACUUUUCCACGAAAAGAGUUACAUGAUAGGAAUUACAUGGAAAUUUAUCGAGACUUAGAUAUUAAAUAAACAUUAAAUUCGCUAUGUGUACUUUUAUUUCCGAGUUCCACAUUGUGAAACAGAAAACGAUCGAUGCUAUUUCAUUUACAGAUCGAGAAGCUACAAAUAUAUUAAUCAUCGUUAAUGCAAAUUGAAAAAUAAAAGACAGAUCGUAAUAUAAAUAUAAAUUUGUAUUUUGACGUGUUACAUGAAGGACGACGAUAUCAAAAAUGUUCUCGUACACACUUAACCGAGCUUUUAGAUUCUUAUACGCAUAGUUGUAUUUUUCUGUCAACUUCAUUGUCCUGACACUCGAAACACGAUCGUUAGAACUUUGCUAUAUCAUGGCUCGUACUAUCUGAUUAUACAUUUCAUGUAAAUAUCGUGAUUACGUUGAUUCGUGCGAUCGUUAAGUACUCUAUUUAGGUAUACGUGAAUUACAGUUACUAUAUGUAUAUAUAUAUAUAUAUUUUAUUUUUCUUUUUACCGUGUAUAAAGUAAUUAGCAAAUGAGAUAGACCCCGUUUUUAGAAACUUGUCCAUUAUAUAAAUUAGAUUCGAAAUUAUCGUUAUAAGUUACGAUCAUAGCCGCGUGUCACUGAAACUUAUUCCAUGGGAAUAAACGUCUAAACAUAGAACAAUAAUAAUAGUAAAAUACUGAUAUAAUAAUAGAAACGUAGAAACGUCUUGAAUAAAAUUACUUGCAUCUAUGUAAUUCCUGCUAUCGCAGGAAAAAAAUGAUUUUUCAAUGAAAAUGCUAAAUUUCGUCAAAAUUUGAUAAAAUUCUAAUGUAAAAUUUGCAGAUACGAUUUAUUAAAAUUUCACAGACAUUUA